UAGGGAAUCUUCGGCAAUGGACGAAAGUCUGACCGAGCAACGCCGCGUGAGUGAAGAAGGUUUUCGGAUCGUAAAACUCUGUUGUUAGAGAAGAACAAGGACGUUAGUAACUGAACGUCCCCUGACGGUAUCUAACCAGAAAGCCACGGCUAACUACGUGCCAGCAGCCGCGGUAAUACGUAGGUGGCAAGCGUGUCCGGAUUUAUUGGGCGUAAAGCGAGCGCAGGCGGUUUCUUAAGUCUGAUGUGAAAGCCCCCGGCUCAACCGGGGAGGGUCAUUGGAAACUGGGAGACUUGAGUGCAGAAGAGGAGAGUGGAAUUCCAUGUGUAGCGGUGAAAUGCGUAGAUAUAUGGAGGAACACCAGUGGCGAAGGCGGCUCUCUGGUCUGUAACUGACGCUGAGGCUCGAAAGCGUGGGGAGCAAACAGG
rnacentral:rRNA from 1 species